rnacentral:snRNA from 15 species
GAACUUAAUAGAUCCGGGUUCAGGGUGAUCAAGAAUGCUCUGAUCCCGGUUGGAGACUCAUGAUUGCACCUCACUGGGUUGAAACUCACGACAAACCCCAAUCGGGUGCACUUGGGCGUGUGGUUUUUGUCAGUGGAAAGGCGUUACGGUCCUCCUUU